CAGAUGUGGAGCUUGCUCCCUGAUGUUAGCGGCGGACGGGUGAGUAACACGUGGGUAACCUGCCUGUAAGACUGGGAUAACUCCGGGAAACCGGGGCUAAUACCGGAUGGUUGUUUGAACCGCAUGGUUCAAACAUAAAAGGUGGCUUCGGCUACCACUUACAGAUGGACCCGCGGCGCAUUAGCUAGUUGGUGAGGUAACGGCUCACCAAGGCAACGAUGCGUAGCCGACCUGAGAGGGUGAUCGGCCACACUGGGACUGAGACACGGCCCAGACUACUACGGGAGGCAGCAGUAGGGAAUCUUCCGCAAUGGACGAAAGUCUGACGGAGCAACGCCGCGUGAGUGAUGAAGGUUUUCGGAUCGUAAAGCUCUGUUGUUAGGGAAGAACAAGUACCGUUCGAAUAGGGCGGUACCUUGACGGUACCUAACCAGAAAGCCACGGCUAACUACGUGCCAGCAGCCGCGGUAAUACGUAGGUGGCAAGCGUUGUCCGGAAUUAUUGGGCGUAAAGGGCUCGCAGGCGGUUUCUUAAGUCUGAUGUGAAAGCCCCCGGCUCAACCGGGGAGGGUCAUUGGAAACUGGGGGAACUUGAGUGCAGAAGAGGAGGAGUGGAAUUCCACGUGUAGCGGUGAAAUGCGUAGAGAUGUGGAGGAACACCAGUGGCGAAGGCGACUCUCUGGUCUGUAACUGACGCUGAGGAGCGAAAGCGUGGGGAGCGAACAGGAUUAGAUACCCUGGUAGUGCACGCCGUAAACGAUGAGUGCUAAGUGUUAGGGGGUUUCCGCCCCUUAGUGCUGCAGCUAACGCAUUAAGCACUCCGCCUGGGGAGUACGGUCGCAAGACUGAAACUCAAAGGAAUUGACGGGGGCCCGCACAAGCGGUGGAGCAUGUGGUUUAAUUCGAAGCAACGCGAAGAACCUUACCAGGUCUUGACAUCCUCUGACAAUCCUAGAGAUAGGACGUCCCCUUCGGGGGCAGAGUGACAGGUGGUGCAUGGUUGUCGUCAGCUCGUGUCGUGAGAUGUUGGGUUAAGUCCCGCAACGAGCGCAACCCUUGAUCUUAGUUGCCAGCAUUCAGUUGGGCACUCUAAGGUGACUGCCGGUGACAAACCGGAGGAAGGUGGGGAUGACGUCAAAUCAUCAUGCCCCUUAUGACCUGGGCUACACACGUGCUACAAUGGACAGAACAAAGGGUAGCGAAACCGCGAGGUUAAGCCAAUCCCACAAAUCUGUUCUCAGUUCGGAUCGCAGUCUGCAACUCGACUGCGUGAAGCUGGAAUCGCUAGUAAUCGCGGAUCAGCAUGCCGCGGUGAAUACGUUCCCGGGCCUUGUACACACCGCCCGUCACACCACGAGAGUUUGUAACACCCGAAGUCGGUGAGGUAACCUAUAGG
rnacentral:rRNA from 1 species